rnacentral:lncRNA from 1 species
ACCAAAGGAGGCCUUAAUGAACCUGCAAAUAUCUUUAGUGUUCCUGGUAUUCGUUCAUCUAGGAGCAAAGAAAAGGAGCUGUCACACCGCAAAAAGAUAAAAUAACUGACACAACAAAUGCAGGGCCAAAAGGCACAAUUCGGAGUACCUCAAGGAUAAUAGGUGCAUAAAAUUCAGUCACAAACACAUAUAAUCCUCACAUUACAUAAAACUCAGUCCUGGAACAUAGCCAGACUAGUAUUAAACAGCUAAAUUUGACCAAACACAGGUAAGGCAACUUCCACAGCCACAACCGCAUAACAAAUCAGGAAUCACUGGGACAAUGCCAUCAUCCCUCAGAGUUUCGCUGCCUGGAUGUCAGAUGAUGCUUCCCCUCCCUCCAAGGCGCCUACUUGGAUCGCUGCCUCAUCUUUCGGCGCUUCCUCUUGAGCCUCCUCAUCCUCUUCUUCUUCCACUGCACAUUAAGACGAAAUGCAGAUCAUCAGUACAAAUUGCAUAGUGCUAGAUGCGCAGGAACAUGAGAUAAUUCCACAUGAAACGAGAAAGUAGUAUGUACUUCAGAAUCAGAAGAUUGAGUGUUUCAUUGGAUAUCAUCACGUGAUUUUCAGAAACACGGACCAAUUGUCCUUCAUCAUUUCCCAAACUGCCAAUUUGGCAUUGCAAAAAGAGAACUAUUCUAAGAAGGUCGUAGCUAUCUACAAACAGGUUAGGCAAAGCAAAGUAGAUCUGCAGUCAGUUUGACAUUCAGAAUGAGUAGGAGGAUUUUAUCAUCAAAUAGAUCAGACGCCAAUUGUCUUCCUCAUCAUGCCAACCGACGCAAUUAUACAAAAUAAAAACAGUGGAAAAUGAGCUAAAGAAAUGGAUAAGCAAACGUUGUUCUCUCAGACAAAUGCCUCGAUUGUCCACACGGUGUAAUAGAAUGGAUUACAUCAGACUCGUCAUCUGUUUUCAUCAUCACAGAGAACAAUGGACAAACGAAAACAGCAAAAAAAAAACAUAAAUCUGGCUAACAUAACUAGAGGCAGUAAUUAGAUCUCAUAGAGCAAGCAAAUCUGGUCGAAAUAGCAGCGGUUCUCUCAGACAAAUUUGCCUCACUUUUGUCCCCACGGUUGAAUGGAAUGGAUUGGAUCGGACAUCUAAUCAGUGUUGAUCAUCACAGAGAACCACUAAUUACGCAAGCGAGCGGUAGCAACGGCGAGAACAAACCCUCGCUAAACACUAGCACAUGUCCAGAUCUACCUCGGUCGCGGAGCAGCUAACAACAGGGAAGGGAGAUGACGGGCAGUACGAACCUUGGCCCUCAUCGCGGCGGCGGAGUCGGUCUCGCUCUCCUGUUCGCGGCGGCGGCGGCGGCGGCGGUGUGUGGACGAACUUAGAUUGUUGACGGCGGGGGCUCUCGCCUCGUACUUAUACGGGCUGGGUGCUGAAGGGGGGGGGAAACCCUAGCGGGGUUGGACGGGUGGACGGCUCGGAUCAGCCAGUGAACGGCGUUCUGAUCCGAUUAGUAAUCUGGUUUGUGGGCCUGUUGGGCCUCCAAACAACGCCUAGGCCCACGCUAACAUUUGACUGGACUUGAUUUCCUGAAGGGGGGAAAAAGAAACUUGACCAGUCUUUACUUUUAUUCUCUUUAUUUUAUAUUACUUUAAAAAGAGUAGUGUUCCUUUUUCUGCCAGACGGAGUGAUUCGUCCAACAUUUUUUUAUAAUCACUAGCAAAAGGCCCGUGUGUUACAACGGGCCAUUGAUAUUUUAGUAUUUCAACACUGAUUGUGCACAUCAAACUGAAAUAUCUCCUUCUAUUGUUAAUUGCUAGUGAAAUAAUCGAGAGGAGAUAAUAUGCCUGAAUAGUGAAGUUGUGAGCAUAGCUUAUUUCUCCUUCUCCUUGACUCAUAUGCAUCAUUUGCUUGGGGGGCAAGCUUGUAGCAGAGUUAAACCCAAAAAAAAGUUGAAUACAAAUCAAGGGAUAUAGCAGCAUUCAACUAAAUUAGUAGUGGAGUAGAGAAGCCCUGGAGCAUAUAAAGUAAAUGAUACCUCUGACAAAGCAGGUUUAAGAAGUGGAUAGUAAGUUUGAAAACAUGAACAAUGCAUAGCAAGCUUUCGUACAUACAAAUUCCCUUGUAUUGAUGAAAACAUAAAUUCACCUAUAAAAAACUAACAAAUUUAGUUUGUAUAUAUACUCUUAGUACACAGUCGAGUCAACACAAACAAUUUGCCUAUGAAAGGAUCAAGUUGGAAUUCCAUUGCUCGAUGGGUGGACGGCUCGGAUCAGCCAGUGGACGGUGUUCUGAUCCGAUUAGUAAUCUGGUUUGUGGGCAUGUUGGGCCUCCAAACAACGCCUAGGCCCAUGCUAACAUUUGACUGGACUUGAUUUCCUGAAGGGGGAAAAAGAAACUUGACCAGUCUUUACUUUUAUUCUCUUUAUUUUAUUACUUAAAAAAGGGAAACGUUUCCUGCGGCGUGCCGGCGGAACGCUUGGCCAGUCGCGUACGCUUCGUUCGAUCGAAAGCGAUCAUGCGGCCCACGUGUGGCCUCACCCCCUCGGCCCCACAUGCUCCCUCUUCCUUAUCCCCAUAUGUUUUCUUUUCCUUAUCCCCUCAAGCACCACUCAUUUUUCUUGCUUAUCCCUCCAUGCCCACCAUUCAUCCCAUGCACCUCUCUCUCCCCCUGGCCUACCUUCAAUCAAUAGCUUGCCGGCGAUGGAAGACGUGUGUGGCGAGCUGGCAGUCCGGGGCUGCACACAUGAAGCCGCGGAGGUGCGUGAGCACGACUCUCGGCGAGCGAAGAGGCGCGACGCCAAAGCUACAUCGGCAACUUGGUAUUUCCACUUUGCAACCUGAUACGACGAGUGGAGGGUGGUUUGCUGCAACCAGUGGCCCCUACUACUACGACCAACGAGGUGGCUGUGCCGUGAAGAUGGACGACGGAUGCGGCGAUUUUUGUGCUGAAACCCACGAUAGCCUCUGCUACAACCGGCCAGCCAUUUUGCUGGAACCAGCAUCGGUAAUUGCUGCCAUCAGUCACGCGAUAUGCUGGAACCAAACGCGCACUCGUCGCCGGCGUUUUUUUUCUUUUGCUAGAGUUGGGUGUUUGAUUUUGCUGGAAGUAGCUAUCCUUUUUGCUACAAAUCGACCACACGAGUUCUCCCUGUUUUGUUGUUUCUGCUGUAUCCAAUGUCUUGUUUUGCUGGAAACAACCAUCUUUUUUGGUACAAAUCGACAACAGGAAUUCUACGUGUUUAGUUGUUUUUCUGCUGCAUCCGAUGUUUCGUUUUGCUGGAACCUAGUAUUUUUUUAUUCAACCGAUCAAUGAAGGAUUGUUGCUUUCAGAUCUUUUUGCUAGAUACUUCAGUGCAAACCGACGCCCACGGCGAGCCGAAACCAGAGCAUGGUGAUGAGCUGGAACCGGCGAGCUUGCUUUGCUGCAAUGAGCCGCAAGCUACUAUGAUCAGCAGGGCGAAGAGCUGGAACGGGCGUCCAUUUUUGCUGGGAUGGGCGCCCAAAUUUGCUGGAACAGGAGUCCCGGGUUGCUGCAUCGUUCGCCGCACAGGGGAGCUACGAUGUUGGCGAGCUGGAACCGGCGCCCAAUUUUGCUGGAGCCGGCAUCUCGACAUGCUGGAACCGUGUGAAGGCAGGCGGCGGCUGAAUGGCUGAUUCGACGCUGAUGGUGUUUUGCUGCGACCAGUGAUGGAAAAGCUUCAACCAUCGGGCGAGUUGUCGAUGGCGUGAGGGGUGACGCCGGGGUGCUGCGGCCGACAACACGGUCGGUGCUGCGCGUUCUACUACAACGAGGAGUCGACCACUAGUUGUUGCAUCCGGCCACGUUGACGCUGCCACCAGCUACAACGAGAAGAUGCCAUGGCGAGCUUCGCCGCCGACGGCCGGCAGCGAAGGUACUCGUGCGGGACGGUGAGCAGAAUUGCGCGCGGCUGCGGCCGCCCGCAAGGGAGAGCCGAUCUGGGCCUUCGUAGACUCUCGUGACAAACGAAACAGCAAGGAGGGACCGGCAGAUGGAGCGGUUAAGGUCACUUCAAUCGAGCGUUGCAUGAGGAACCGGCCGAAAUUUUGGGCCGGUCCGCCGGCGCCUAGUGCUGGCCCUUAAAAAAAAGUAGCGUUCCUUUUUCUGCCAGACGGAGUGAUUUGUCCAACAUGUUUUUCUUGGGAACCGCCUUAAUCAUCUCAUCUUUUUGGUUCAAAAAAAUCGUCUCAUCUUUUAUUGACUUAUCAAAUAAAUUAUAUUUUCUUUCAUAAGUCAAAAUAAGUGAUUACAAAAUAAAAUCAUGGGUAAGAUUUGUUAAGUAUUUUUUUACACAAUCACAUAACAUAAAGAUGUAAAUUAUGGGAUAAUGUAUUGUAAUAUAAUAUAUAAUAUUUAUGCCCCAUAGCGACACGGGCAAAUAUCUAGUUCUGCUAGCAAAAAGACUAAUUACAAAACAAUAAAACUGAGCUAGCUACACGCCACCACAGCGAUUCACCGCUUUUGGCCGUCCGAUCAUUUGUUAGACGCCCCAGAUCUUCCAAUUGUCCACUGGCGGUCGCUUGGUCAUUUUCACCGUGCCUCACCCAAUGUAAAAGGGCUGCUGCUCCGGAAAGCAACCUGUGGGUCAUGUAGUUAAUUGGGCCCAGAAGCAGCCCAAUUGGUUGUGUACGUCAGCCCAUGCUAGGUUUCCUUUCCACAUCGACAGAGAAAAGAAAAGAACAAUUCAUCCUUCUCCUCUUGUUCAUACCCACGGUGCAGGGUGUCUAAUUUCUCAUGUUCCUUUCGUGCUAGGAAGCUCGUGGGGAUUGACCAACUGUCAGUUUGUUGGAGUUUGAUCUGUCCCGAUGGGCGACAAACAUAUAGCUGACUGAAGGCACGAGUAUGGCCUAUGGACUAAAGGAUUUGUUCCUUUCCCUCGGUGGCAACAUCCUAUAUGGCAGUACCUUUUCGCCUCCUUUUACCAGCCGUAUAAUUCAGUGAGUCGUUAGUAACUGUUUUGAUUGGUUGUUAGUAUUCCGGCACUGCCUUAUAUAUGGAUAUUCAUUGUUGAUAUGUGUUACAUGGUGUGAUCCCGAUCGACUCCAAUAUGGACACCCAGGCACCACACCCAGGCUCAUGCAAAUGCUCAAAACAGCCCGGUAACGCCACCACUUGUUGAUCAAAACGUUGUCCUUCUGAGUACUGAUUAGGAUUACAUGCAACCUUCUUGCUGGAAAUACGCUUCUGAAAAAAGAUGCUAAGCUGGCCUGAUAAGAUUGGCAUUAGGCUUUUGCCGUAGGAUCCUGGAACUCUGAAUUCUAGGAACAGCACCUACCAGGUUACCUGAUGUAAUCCGUAUCCUUGCAUGAGGUUUGGAGUACGUGGUUUUUCAAUUUUUGUUGGACAGUUUUAGUCGAGUUAGGUGUGUUCAAGGAUUAGCUUUGGUUUUCCCAUUUUACUCGCUAAGAAAGGUAACUGAAAUUUUGUUUCUGCUCAAUUUCAUUAGGUUGCAAGAAAAUGACUGGUUGAAAUUGCUUUCCUAAACAAAGUAAUAGAUGUACAAUAUUGAUCAACAAAUGGGCAACAAGUCAACAACGACCCAGUAGAAAUUUUAUUGUGCUGAAUAGGGCCAAGUAUAUUAUCAAACCAUUGUUGGUAAGAGGAUAAUUUACUAUGAUUCAGUUGGCAAAGAGGCUCUGAUCUGCAGUUUAAAUGACGAAGAAAUACUGGAACAUGGGGAAGAGAAGCAUGUUUCACAAAAGAAGAAGAUCCGCUAAUAUGGUAAUAAUACAUCCUAGUUAAAUAGAUUGGUUUUUCUGUAUUACGUGCUCUUCUGUCGUGAACUGCAAUUGAUUACCACAACAUGCUAUGUUUUCAUCCGUUCAAGUCUGAAGAAUGGGUACUAUCUAUCAGUCUAUAUGUUUGAAUUUUUUUUCUAAUAUCUCUACUCCUAAUGAAGCAGUUGGUAGCCUGGUACUCCGGUUUUAUUUUCGUCCGGUUUUAUUUCGUCCCACCUCCCACCACUCCGUACUACUGGUUUUUUAUCUAUCUACAAAUCUCCCCUCCCACUGGUUUAAGCCGGUUAUCAAUUUUUGGUAAUGCAAUAAAAGUCAUACGGGAAUAAAUCAUAUCACGGUCGGCAGUUAAUCUCAAACCUGCCAAGAGAUUUGGUAACAGAAUAAAUUCAAAAGGAAGGGUGGGGGAAUGUUCCUAUACAUAAGGAUGGUAAUCUCCAUCGCAUACCAUUUACUCCAGAAUCAAUCGCAUUAAUAAUCUCCAUCGCAUAAAUAAUUACUCCAAAAUCAAUCACAAUCAUAAUCUACAUCGCAUAAUUAACUUCUUCCUAUGACCACCUCGCUCCACCAAUCCCACCUGCCGUUUUCUACCAUCACGAUCGAUUUUCUCGCGUCCUCUCCUACACGCACAAAAAUAUAGGCCCAGCCUCGACCGUGGGCUGGGACUCAUCCGUCGCGCACCGCCUGCUCUGCAACGACGCCCAACGCAACCUCUUCUUUGAUGCCCCCGCGCACCCCUCGCCGCCGCCACCAACGCCCUGCGCGUUCGCCUCUACGGCCUUGAUGAUUGCACCCGCUUUCGUGACGUCCUCGCGCUCAAGCGCCGCCGGCGCAUCCACGCCUGCGUCAGCCAUGCCGAGGAGGUUGAGGAGCCCCUCGAGCCGGCCCUUGCCCUCGCCUGCGUCAACGACCCCGCCCAUCUUGGCGGGGGCGAUUCCCCCAUCGCCCGACUCAUCUCCGACGAGUAUGGCAUCGGUGGGUACGCCGCGUCGUUCGUAUGCUUGGCAGGUUCCAGAACACCCCGCGACGUGUAUGAGGCUGCUAAGCUUGACCAUGGCGAGGGGCUCGUGCUCGAGCUCGACGAGACGCAAUUCGAUCUCGGAACCAACUACGAGCUGGAUGGUGAGACUGCAGAGCAGGCAGGGGGCGCGACGAAGAUGGAAGUGGCGGCAGUUCAAGCUUGUCGCUGCCGAAGACCCUAGAGAGGUGCGUGAAGAGACCUGGUUAGUUUUGUUGGGCCCCACUGGUAGAUGCUCCAUGUCUCCUCCUCUGGUUCCUUGUGCAUUAUUGGGUUGUCUUAAUUUUCAGUCAGGAACACGUAGCCGUGAAUUUUUUUGAUUAAUAUUGAUGUCAUCGUUACAUAUUGGUACCGGGUAGAUUUGAUGUAUUAUUGUUAAGCUCUCAAGACCAGGCCUGGUUUUACAGAUGUUUAGCGCACCGGUUCCUGUUCAUUUACAACACAGCCAUGCGAUCUAUUAAGUGAUGUUUCUCUGAAUUUAUGACAGGUAAACUGCGGUAAUAACAAAUCAGAUGUCAUCUCUCAUCUUGCCGAUUCAACCUUGGAAGAUAUGGUAGAGACGAGAGGCGGUUUGGUCCAUCUGGUGGAAGGGGGAGUGGAGAUAGUAGGAGUGGAAAGCAACUCAGUCCAUCCUGGCGGAAGGGAUAUAUAUAGGCUGACAUGUCAUCGGUGCUGGGCACCACAGGCAAGUGCUGUUUAGUUGAGUCCCAAUCACGAAUUAGAAAAAAAUUCUUUGGGUUCUUGGAUAGAUGCUUAUGGUUUGUUGCGUCAUUUUUCAGGUUCAAUAUGCUGGCUGGCGCCGAGCCUCACUACUGAGUUGAAGAACUACUUGCAACGGUUGCCAAAAGUUGUGUUAAAAAAAUAGGCCCACCUUCAUAAGGAUGAUGUAAAUUGCAGCCAUACUCAGGUUUAUUCUUUGUUCCCUGCAUAUUUUUAUUUAACCACGUUAUGUUUUAGCCACUAGAUGGAAAAUAGAAAAAGGAAACGGAGAGAAUCACUUAUUUUCGUGAUAUGAUAUUUAUUUAAUAGUGAUUGCUAUUUGUUUUGAAUAUUUAAGCAUAAGGAUACCACAAUUAAAUUAUGGUUACAACACGAAAGUUGUAGAGUAGUUAAUCUCUAUCUCUACUCCUAAAGGGGGAGUUGGUAGCCCGGUGCGCAGGUUUAUUUUCGCCUCACCGAUUUAUUCUCCCUCACCUCCCAGCAUCCCCUCCACGCUGGGUUUUCUCCGUCCGACUAAAAACCAAAUCAAUUUGCAUGAUCCUCCUUGUUUGUUUUUCGGCUAAUGUCCUCCUAUCCUAGAGCAUGUUCAUCUGACUAAUCUUCUUAGUUAAUGCCCUCCUUGCCUGGAUCAUGUUCAUCCGAUUGACAAAGGCUUGGCCAUCUUGUAAUAGUAGAUGGUGAAGUGGAUAUAUAUACUACUCCCUCCGUCCGAAAAUACUUGUCAUCAAAAUGAAUAUAAAGGGAUGUAUCUAGAACUAAAAUAUGUUUAGAUACAUCUCUUUUUAUCCAUUUUGAUAACAAGUAUUUCCGGACAGAGGGAGUGCUUCAGUUUGCAUGAGAACAACCGCUUAUAUGUGUGCCUCAAUAGUAAAGUAGGAUUGCUUGGAUUAUUUUCUGUAGUAUUUUUUCCAGUUUUAAAUGUUUAGUUUCUUAACUUAUUAUGAGGCUUGCAUCGAUCAAAGAAAUCAUGCUCCCUUGGCUUAAUCAAAUGUACUUAUGUUUGCUAAUUUAUUUUUAGUGUGUGUUUCCUCCUACUAUCUUAUUAUUCUAUAGCUAACUAUAUUUUGGAAUCUGGUGGGUGCAAAGAAAAUGGCAGUUUCUAGAUUUCUGUAGUAUUUCUGGGUAACAACAGGUUCCAAAGUGACGGGCAUUGCUAAAUCAGAUAACAUACUAUUCAAAAAGAGAACACAUUCAUCCCUUCAUUUUAGAGAUUCAAUAAAGCAAGCAAAACUUGGAAUCCAAGUCAGAAUACCAACUAUUGUACUACUGAAUGCACAUUUAUUUGCCGACAUGAAACUAUCUAUCACAUGUAGGUGUGUUUGCUCCUCGGAGCAUAGCAAAAUGAUAUGCUCUUACAUAAACAUUAUCUUGCUUACAGUGUUAAUUCAAAGCCUUAAUUCAAGGUCGGAUCUUGCUUACAAUGUCAAUAUAAUCGCUUUUAAUCUCUUUCAAGAUUAAUAAACUGCACAUGCAUGGCACGCAAAUAGGACAAACUUGACUAGAUCUACACAUAUAUUUUUAUCACUUCUAAUAUCUCAUCGACUGUUUACAUGCCAUAUUGCAUACCAAGAAUACAAGAGUGCUGACUUUAUUUUAUUUUAUUUUAUUUUAUUUUAUUUUAUUUCUGAAAUAGUUCCCAAUUAGGCUUACAAUUAUUUUAUAUUAGUGUUACUUCCUUUGUCAAGCUUAUGAAGAAUGUAUUUCCUUGAACAGUAUUUCAUCCAUUUGGAUUUAGGUGACAUGUGUGGUGGCACGAGAAAAUGGAAGGCCCUAAGCUGAAGGAGAGCAUCAAUUGACAUGAGUGAUAAGCAAUAUCUAUUAGAAACACAUACUAUCAGGCUAAUGCAAACCACUUGGGUAUGAAGUAUACUUACCACAACUUUCUAGGUGUUGAUCAACUUGUGUUUUCUUGUUAGUAAAAGAAACAUGUUGUUUUUUUGUGGUUCAUGGAUUCAUGCUCAAUGUUGAAUUAUUAUCUGAUCUGCAGAAGCAUGUCUUACUGCUGCUCAAGGUCACAUGAUUUAUAAUUUAUAACUACAAUUAUUUAAAUCAGUAUCUUGCACGAAGUCCUGACAUCUGGCUUUAUCAAAGAUUCCACUAUGUUUAUUUCUCCAUCAUAUCGCACAAUGAAUAAUAACAGUAGAUAGAUAUCCCCUUUUUAUGCAAUGAAUUUCAUGAAAUAAAACAGCGUCCAUCACCGUCUCUGAUGUAAUCUUAAGUGCACAUGCAUGGCUUAAUGUCACUGCUAUCUCGUAGUUUCACAUGCUAUUCAAGUUUACGGCAUACAGUACUUAACAUAUAAGUUGUGUCAUAGUAUUAGUGUCAUCUUUGGCUGCUUCCUUUCUUGAAUUUUCCGAUGACAGUGUACAUGCCUUAACAUAUUCGAAGUUGUUGAUUUUUUUGUUGCAAAUAUAAUAUUUAGUAAUUUAACGUGAGCCCUUGCAGGUCCAAUUAAAGCUAUUUGACCAGAAGCUAGGUGAUAUGUGCUCAAAAGAAUCUACCCUGUUAUGCACCAGUUUUUUGCCUUAACAUUGUUUCUGCAAUUACACUAUAUAUCUUGUAUUAACUGGAUUUUUAAGAUGACGAUUAAGGAAUUCAUCUACAAUUAGGAACUUACUUCGCGACAAGGAAGGUCCAGUGGUUGGGCAACAACAUGUGGAAGGAUAAUUACUGGAUACAUUUUUUUAGCGAACAACAGCGGAGCGAUUUGAUGUCUCAAAACAUGUAAGCUGACUUGCCCUCCAUGGAAUGGAAUGACUACAAAAACUUUUGUCAUUUCAUCUAAGAAUAUUUUAAAUUAGUUAAUAAAUCAUACAGACUUGAUAUUUUCUUGGUCUCAUGCAACUAUGUGUGGUUUCUUACUUUACUCCACAAUCAUCUGUGGCAAUUAUGAGGUAUUUUUCGCCAUUCGUAUUUAUUCCUUAAUUUUACUAUGAAUAUAUGAGAGUACACACCAAGGGGUUCGCAAAAAGUACAAAAAAACUAGGAGACAAGCACGAGUCACCUUAUGAGGUGAUGAUGUAGGAGACACAAUGAGGUGAAAGAGACGUGAUGGACAUAGAAGAGUAAACCCACGAGGAUAAAGAGAUGUCAUGCACAUAGAAGGAGGAAGCGAGGACCUCGAUCCACAUUAUCAAAGACAUAGAUAAGAACAAGAGUAUCACACUUCCCACAUCGACCAACUAAUGACACAUGUUGCUAUUGGGGCAUAUCACCCUCCCUUGCAUUAUACAUAUUAAUAUUAAGAUGAAACACUUCGUUGAAUGCAUUUCUAUUAUAUUGUUCUAUGGCAACACCCGAGCAUUCUGCUAGAAAGGAUGCUCGGGUGUAGACAGAAUCAUAUAUUAUAUCAUUAUUAGUAUCAACAUGUUUCUAAAUGUUUUCAUACUCAGUAUAUGAUGUUAGAUUCAACAUGAGAUCUAAAGUUUUGUGUGAAGCCAAAUAUGCAGGUGUUAGCAAUACUGUUUGAUAGCUUGGGGGUACGAUGUGGCAAACGCGCAACGGCUGGCUAGCUGUGUUGGAGAGCAAGAGAUGUCCAGCGAGAAACAUCCCACUACAUGUUGGGGAAUGUAGUAAUUUCAAAAAAUUUCCUACGCACACGCAAGAUCAUGGUGAUGCAUAGCAACGAGAAGGGAGAGUGUUGUCUACGUACCCACGCAGACCGACUGCGGAAGCAUUGACACAACAUAGAGGAAGUAGUCGUACGUCUUCCCGAUCCGACCGAUCCAAGCACCGUUACUCCGGCACCUCCGAGUUCUUAGCACACGUACAGCUCGAUGACGAUCCCCGGGCUCCGAUCCAGCAAAGCGUCGGGGAAGAGUUCCGUCAGCACGACGGCGUGGUGAUGAUCUUGAUGUUCUACCGACGCAGGGCUUCGCCUAAGCACUACAACGAUAUGAUCGAGGUGGAAUAUGGUGGCAGGGGGCACCGCACACGGCUAAGAAAUGAUCUCAAGGAUCAACUUGUGUGUCUAGAGGUGCCCCCCUGCCCCUGUAUAUAAAGGAGCCAAGGAGGAGGGGCUGGCUGGCCAAGGAGGGUGCGCCAGGAGAGUCCUACUCCCUCUGGGAAUAGGAUUCCCCCCCAAUCCUAGUUGGAAUAGGAUUCCUUAAGGGGGGGAAAGGAGAGGGGGGGCCGGCCACCUCUUCUAGUCCUAAUAGGACUAGGGGAGGGGGGAGGCGCGCGGCCACCUUGGGCUGCCCCUUUCUUCUUUCCACUAAAGCCCAUUAAGGCCCAUAUAGCUCCCGGGGGGUUCCGGUAACCUCCCGGUACUCCGGUAAAAUCCUGAUUUCACCCGGAACACUUCCGAUAUCCAAACAUAGGCUUUCAAUAUAUCAAUCUUUAUGUCUCGACCAUUUCAAGACUCCUCGUCAUGUCCGUGAUCACAUUCGGGACUCCGAACUAACUUCGGUACAUCAAAAUGCAUAAACUCAUAAUAACUGUCAUCGUAACGUUAAGCGUGCGGACCCUACAGUUCGAGAAUAAUGUAGACAUGACUGAGACACAUCUCCAGUCAAUAACCAAUAGCGGGACCUGGAUGCCCAUAUUGGCUCCUACAUAUUCUACGAAGAUCUUUAUCGGUCAGACCGCAUAACAACAUACGUUGUUCCCUUUGUCAUCGAUAUGUUACUUGCCCGAGAUUCGAUCGUCGGUAUCCAAUACCUAGUUCAAUCUCGUUACCGGCAAGUCCCUUUACUCGUUCUGUAAUACAUCAUCCCGCAACUAACUCAUUAGUUGCAAUGCUUGCAAGGCUUAUGUGAUGUGCAUUACCGAGAGGGCCCAGAGAUACCUCUCCGACAAUCGGAGUGACAAAUCCUAAUCUCGAAAUACGCCAACCCAACAUCUACCUUUGGAGACACCUGUAGAGCUCCUUUAUAAUCACCCAUUUACGUUGUGACGUUUGGUAGCACAGAAAGUAUUCCUCCGGCAAACGGGAGUUGCAUAAUCUCAUAGUCAUAGGAACAUGUAUAAGUCAUGAAGAAAGCAAUAGCAACAUACUAAACGAUCGGGUGCUAAGCUAAUGGAAUGGGUCAUGUCAAUCAGAUCAUUCAACUAAUGAUGUGACCUCGUUAAUCAAAUAACAACUCUUUGUUCAUGGUUAGCAAACAUAACCAUCUUUGAUUAACGAGCUAGUCAAGUAGAGGCAUACUAGUGACACUCUGUUUGUCUAUGUAUUCACACAUGUAUUAUGUUUUCGGUUAAUACAAUUCUAGCAUGAAUAAUAAACAUUUAUCAUGAUAUAAGGAAAUAAAUAAUAACUUUAUUAUUGCCUCUAGGGCAUAUUUCCGUCAGUCUCCCACUUGCACUAGAGUCAAUAAUCUAGAUUACACUGUAAUGAUUCUAACACCCAUGGAGUCUUGGUGUUGAUCAUGUUUUGCUCGUGGAAGAGGCUUAGUCAACGAGUCUGCAACAUUCAGAUCUGUAUGUAUCUUGCAAAUCUCUAUGUCUCCCACCUGGACUAGAUUCCGGAUGGAAUUGAAGCGUCUCUUGAUGUGCUUGGUCCUUUUGUGAAAUCUGGAUUCCUUUGCCAAGGCAAUUGCACCAGUAUUGUCACAAAAGAUUUUCAUUGGACCCGAUGCACUAGGUAUGACACCUAGAUCGGAUAUGAACUCCUUCAUCCAGACUCCUUCGUUCGCUGCUUCCGAAGCAGCUAUGUACUCCGCUUCACAUGUAGAUCCCGCUAUGACGCUUUGUUUAGAACUGCACCAACUGACAGCUCCACCGUUUAAUGUAAACACGUAUCCGGUUUGCGAUUUAGAAUCGUCCGGAUUAGUGUCAAAGCUUGCAUCAACGUAACCUUUUACGGUGAGCUCUUUGUCACCUCCAUAUACGAUAAACAUAUCCUUAGUCCUUUUCAGGUAUUUCAGGAUGUUCUUGACCGCUGUCCAGUGAUCCACUCCUAGAUUACUUUGAUACCUUCCUCCUAGACUUAUAGCAAGGCACACAUCAGGUCUGGUACACAGCAUUGCAUACAUGAUAGAGCCUAUGGCUGAAGCAUAGGGAACAUCUUUCAUUUUCUCUCUAUCUUCUGCAGUGGUCGGGCAUUGAGUCUGACUCAACUUCACACCUUGUAACAUAGGCAAGAACCCUUUCUUUGCUUGAUCCAUUUUGAACUUCUUCAAAAUCUUGUCAAGGUAUGUGCUUUGUGAAAGUCCAAUUAAGCGUCUUGAUCUAUCUUUAUAGAUCUUUAUGCCUAAUAUGUAAGCAGCUUCACCGAGGUCUUUCAUUGAAAAACUCUUAUUCAAGUAUCCCUUUAUGCUAUCCAGAAAUUCUAUAUCAUUUCCAAUCAGUAAUAUGUCAUCCACAUAUAAUAUCAGAAAUGCUACAGAGCUCCCACCCACUUUCUUGUAAAUACAGGCUUCUCCGAAAGUCUGUAUAAAACCAAAUGCUUUGAUCACACUAUCAAAGCGUUUAUUCCAACUCCGAGAGGCUUGCACCAGUCCAUAAAUGGAUCGCUGGAGCUUGCACACUUUGUUAGCUCCUUUUGGAUUGACAAAACCUUCCAGUUGCAUCAUAUACAACUCUUCUUCCAGAAAUCCAUUCAGGAAUGCAGUUUUGACAUCCAUCUGCCAAAUUUCAUAAUCAUAAAAUGCGGCAAUUGCUAACAUGAUUCGGACAGACUUAAGCAUCGCUACGGGUGAGAAGGUCUCAUCGUAGUCAACCCCUUGAACUUGUCGAAAACCUUUUGCGACAAGUCGAGCUUUGUAGACAGUAACAUUACCAUCAGCGUCAGUCUUCUUCUUGAAGAUCCAUUUAUUCCCAAUUGCUUGCCGAUCAUCGGGCAAGUCAACCAAAGUCCAUACUUUAUUCUCAUACAUGGAUCCCAUCUCAGAUUUCAUGGCUUCAAGCCACUUUGCGGAAUCUGGGCUUACCAUCGCUUCUUCAUAGUUUGUAGGUUCAUCAUGAUCUAGCAGCAUGAUUUCCAGAACAGGAUUACCGUACCACUCUGGUGCGGAUCUCGCUCUGGUUUAUCUACGAGGUUCAGUAGUAUCUUGUCCUGAAGUUUCAUGAUCAUCAUCAUUAGCUUCCUCACUAAUUGGUAUAGGUGUCGCAGAAACAGUUUUCUGUGAUGUACUACUUUCCAAUAAGGGAGCAGGUACAGUUACCUCGUCAAGUUCUACUUUCCUCCCACUCACUUCUUUCGAGAGAAACUCUUUCUAUAGAAAGGAUCCAUUCUUAGCAACGAAUAUCUUGCCUUCGGAUCUGUGAUAGAAGGUGUACCCAACAGUCUCCUUUGGGUAUCCUAUGAAGACACAUUUCUCCAAUUUGGGUUCGAGCUUAUCAGGUUGAAGCUUUUUCACAUAAGCAUCGCAGCCCCAAACUUUAAGAAACGACAACUUUGGUUUCUUGCCAAACCACAGUUCAUAAGGCGUCGUCUCAACGGAUUUUGAUGGUGCCCUAUUUAACGUGAAUGCGGCCGUCUCUAAAGCAUAACCCCAAAACGAUAGUGGUAAAUCAGUAAGAGACAUCAUAGAUCGCACCAUAUCUAGUAAAGUACGAUUACGACGUUCGGACACACCAUUACGCUGUGGUGUUCCGGGUGGCAUGAGUUGCGAAACUAUUCCACAAUUUUUCAAAUGUACACCAAACUCGUAACUCAAAUAUUCUCCUCCACGAUCAGAUCGUAGAAACUUUAUUUUCUUGUUACGAUGAUUUUCAACUUCACUCUGAAAUUCUUUGAACUUUUCAAAUGUUUCAGACUUGUGUUUCAUCAAGUAGAUAUACCCAUAUCUGCUUAAAUCAUCUGUGAAGGUGAGAAAAUAACGAUAUCCGCCACGAGCCUCAAUAUUCAUCGGACCACAUACAUCGGUAUGUAUGAUUUCCAACAAAUCUGUUGCUCUCUCCAUAGUACCGGAGAACGGUGUUUUAGUCAUCUUGCCUAUGAGGCAUGGUUCGCAAGUACCAAGUGAUUCAUAAUCAAGUGGUUCCAAAAGUCCAUCAGUAUGGAGUUUCUUCAUGCGCUUUAUACCGAUAUGACCUAAAACGGCAGUGCCACAAAUAAGUUGCACUAUCAUUAUCAACUCUGCAUCUUUUGGCUUCAACAUUAUGAAUAUGUGUGUUACUACUAUCGAGAUUCAUCAAAAAUAGACCACUCUUCAAAGGUGCAUGACCAUAAAAGAUAUUACUCAUAUAAAUAGAACAACCAUUAUUCUUUGAUUUAAAUGAAUAACCGUCUCGCAUCAAACAAGAUCCAGAUAUAAUGUUCAUGCUCAAUGCUGGCACCAAAUAACAAUUAUUUAGGUCUAAUAUUAAUCCCGAAGGUAGAUGUAGAGGUAGCGUGCCGACCGCGAUCACAUCGACUUUGGAACCGUUUCCCACGCGCAUCGUCACCUCGUCCUUUGUCAGUGUUUGCUUAAUCCGUAGUCCCUGUUUCGAGUUGCAAAUAUUAGCAACAGAACCAGUAUCAAAUACCCAGGUGCUACUGCAAGCUCUAGUAAGGUACACAUCAAUAACAUAUAUAUCACAUAUACCUUUGUUCACCUUGCCAUCCUUCUUAUCCGCCAAAUACUUGGGGUAGUUCCGCUUCCAGUGACCAGUCUGCUUGCAGUAGAAACACUCAGUUUCAGGCUUAGGUCCAGACUUGGGUUUCUUCUCCUGAGCAGCAACUUGCUUACUGUUCUUCUUGAAGUUCCCCUUCUUCUUCCCUUUACCCUUUUUCUUGAAACUAGUGGUCUUGUUAACCAUCAACACUUGAUGCUCCUUCUUGAUUUCUACCUCCGCAGCUUUCAGCAUUGCGAAGAUCUCGGGAGUAGUCUUGUUCAUCCCUUGCAUAUUAUAGUUCAUCACAAAGCUCUUGUAGCUUGGUGGCAGUGAUUGGAGAAUUCUGUCAAUGAUGCAAUCAUCUGGAAGAUUAACUCCCAUCUGAAUCAAGUGAUUAUUAUACCCAGACAUUUUGAGUAUAUGCUCACUGACAGAACUGUUCUCCUCCAUCUUGCAGCUAUAGAACUUAUUGGAGACUUCAUAUCUCUCAAUCCGGGCAUUUGCUUGAAAUAUUAACUUCAACUCCUGGAACAUCUCAUAUGCUCCAUGACGUUCAAAACGUCGUUGAAGUCCCGAUUCUAAGCCGUAAAGCAUGGCACACUGAACUAUCGAGUAGUCAUCAGCUUUGCUCUGCCAGACGUUCAUAACAUCAGGUAUUGCUCCAGCAGCAGGCCUGGCACCCAGCGGUGCUUCCAGGACGUAAUUCUUCUGAGCAGCAAUGAGGAUAAUCCUCAAGUUACGGACCCAGUCCGUGUAAUUGCUACCAUCAUCUUUCAACUUUGCUUUCUCAAGGAAUGCAUUAAAAUUCAACGGGACAACAGCACGAGCCAUCUAUCUACAAUCAACAUAAACAAGCAAGAUACUAUCAGGUACUAAGUUCAUGAUAAGUUUAAGUUCAAUUAAUCAAAUUACUUAAGAACUCCCACUUAGAUAGACAUCCCUCUAAUCCUCUAAGUGAUCACGUGAUCCAAAUCAACUAAACCAUAACCGAUCAUCACGUGAGAUGGAGUAGUUUUCAAUGGUGAACAUCGUUAUGUUGAUCAUAUCUACUAUAUGAUUCACGUUAGACCUUUCGGUCUCCGUGUUCCGAGGCCAUAUCUGCAUAUGCUAGGCUCGUCAAGUUUAACCUUAGUAUUCUGCGUGUGCAAAAACUGGCUUGCACCCGUUGUAGAUGGACGUAGAGCUUAUCAUACCCAAUCAUCACGUGGUGUCUGGGCACGACGAACUUUGGCAACGGUGCAUACUCAGGGAGAACACUUCUUGAUAAUUUAGUGAGAGAUCAUCUUAUAAUGCUACCGUCAAUCAAAGCAAGAUAAGAUGCAUAAAAAGAUAAACAUCACAUGCAAUCAAUAUAAGUGAUAUGAUAUGGCCAUCAUCAUCUUGUGCUUGUGAUCUCCAUCUCCGAAGCAUCGUCAUGAUCACCAUCGUCACCGGCGCGACACCUUGAUCUCCAUCGUAGCAUCGUUGUCGUCUCGCCAAUCUUAUGCUUCUACGACUAUCGCUACCGUUUAGUGAUAAAGUAAAGCAUUACAUCGCGAUUGCAUUGCAUACAAUAAAGCGACAACCAUAUGGCUCCUGCCAGUUGCCGAUAACUUGGUUACAAAACAUGAUCAUCUCAUACAAUAAAAUUUAGCAUCAUGUCUUGGCCAUAUCACAUCACAACAUGCCCUGCAAAAACAAGUUAGACGUCCUCUACUUUGUUGUUGCAAGUUUUACGUGGCUGCUACGGGCUUAAGCAAGAACCAAUCUCACCUACGCAUCAAAACCACAACGAUAGUUUGUCAAAUAGACUCCGUUUUAACCUUCGCAAGGACCGGGCGUAGCCACACUCGGUUCAACUAAAGUUGGAGAGACAGUCGCCCGCAAGCCACCUAUGUGCAAAGCACGUCGGGGAAACCGGUCUCGCGUAAGCGUACGCGUAAUGUUGGUCCGGGUCGUCUCGUCCAACAAUACCGUUGAACCAAAGUAUGACAUGGCAGUAUGACUUAUAUCGCCCACAACUCACUUGUGUUCUACUCGUGCAAAUAACAUCAAACCAUAAAACCUAGGCUCGGAUGCCACUAUUGGGGAACAUAGUAAUUUCAAAAAAAUUCCUAUGCACACGCAAGAUCAUGGUGAUGCAUAGCAACGAGAAGGGAGAGUGUUGUCUACGUACCCACGCAGACCGACUGCGGAAGCAUUGACACAACAUAGAGGAAGUAGUCGUACGUCUUCCCGAUCCGACCGAUCCAAGCACCGUUACUCCGGCACCUCCGAGUUCUUAGCACACGUACAGCUCGAUGACGAUUCCCGGGCUCCGAUCCAGCAAAGCGUCGGGGAAGAGUUCCGUCAGCACGACGGCGUGGUGACGAUCUUGAUGUUCUACCGACGCAGGGCUUCGCCUAAGCACUACAACGAUAUGAUCGAGGUGGAAUAUGGUGGCAGGAGGCACCGCACACAGCUAAGGAACGAUCUCAAGGAUCAACUUGUGUAUCUAGAGGUGCCCCCCUGCCCCUGUAUAUAAAGGAGCCAAGGGGGAGGGGCUGGCUGGCCAAGGAGGGUGCGCCAGGAGAGUCCUACUCCCUCUGGGAGUAGGAUUCCCCCCCCCCCCCAAUCCUAGUUGGAAUAGGAUUCCUUAAGGGGGGGGGAAGAGAGAGAGGGGGGCCGGCCACCUCUCCUAGUCCUAAUAGGACUAGGGGAGGGGGGAGGCGCGCGGCCACCUUGGGCUGCCCCUUUCUUCUUUCCACUAAAGCCCACUAAGGCCCAUAUAGCUCCCGGGGGGUUCCGGUAACCUCCCGGUACUCCGGUAAAAUCCCGAUUUCAUCCGGAACACUUCCGAUAUCCAAACAUAGGCUUCCAAUAUAUCAAUCUUUAUGUCUCGACCAUUUUGAGACUCGUCGUCAUGUCCGUGAUCACAUCCGGGACUCCGAACUAACUUCGGUACAUCAAAAUGCAUAAACUCAUAAUAACUGUCAUCGUAACGUUAAGCGUGCGGACCCUACGGUUCAAGAAUAAUGUAGACAUGACUGAGACACAUCUCCGGUCAAUAACCAAUAGUGGGACCUGGAUGCCCAUAUUGGCUCCUACAUAUUCUACGAAGAUCUUUAUCGGUCAGACCGCAUAACAACAUGCGUUGUUCCCUUUGUCAUCGGUAUGUUACUUGCCCGAGAUUCGAUCGUCGGUAUCCAAUACCUAGUUCAAUCUCGUUACCGGCAAGUCUCUUUACUCGUUCUGUAAUACAUCAUCCCGCAACUAACUCAUUAGUUGCAAUGCUUGCAAGGCUUGUGUGAUGUGCAUUACCGAGAGGGCCCAGAGAUACCUCUCCGACAAUCGGAGUGACAAAUCCUAAUCUUGAAAUACGCCAACCCAACAUCUACCUUUGGAGACACCUGUAGAGCUUCUUUAUAAUCACCCAUUUACGUUGUGACGUUUGGUAGCACAGAAAGUAUUCCUCCGGCAAACGGGAGUUGCAUAAUCUCAUAGUCAUAGGAACAUGUAUAAUUCAUGAAGAAAGCAAUAGCAACAUACUAAACGAUCGGGUGCUAAGCUAAUGGAAUGGGUCAUGUCAAUCAGAUCAUUCAACUAAUGAUGUGACCUCGUUAAUCAAAUAACAACUCUUUGUUCAUGGUUAGCAAACAUAACCAUCUUUGAUUAACGAGCUAGUCAAGUAGAGGCAUACUAGUGACACUCUGUUUGUCUAUGUAUUCACACAUGUAUUAUGUUUCCGGUUAAUACAAUUCUAGCAUGAAUAAUAAACAUUUAUCAUGAUAUAAGGAAAUAAAUAAUAACUUUAUUAUUGCCUCUAGGGCAUAUUUCCUUCACUACAAUGGGAAACCGAGCGGGAAGGGGAGAGUCAGAUAGGAAAACCGAAGUUUUUGUCGUGGGAUGGGGGUUUUGUGUUGCGCCCUUGGGUUGGAGAUAACAAAUGGCGGAUAGUCCGGACAAUGACAUUUCUCCCCCACAUAUGAUCUGGAUUUCGGAAAGUCUGGACUGUCCAGACGGUUGAAUUUUGGGGAGCCCAUUGGGCACCGGACGUAUGAGGAAGAAAUGAGUUUCGAAUUUAAAGACGACUUUAAUCAUUUAUUUAAUUCAUUUAUGUGUGUUGUAGCCCGUAGCAACGCACGGGCAUUCUACUAGUAUAAGUUAUAACUCUGCUAUACUGCCAAUUUCUUGCAUGCUCAUAUGUAUGUUGUAUGGCAUUUAAUUUCUUUUGGUGGUCCUUUCCCUCUUUGAAUUGAAUGCCAACAUAGUAGAACAUGUACUGCAUAAGGUUCAGCAGGCUGGGUCUAACAAGGUAAAUCAUUAUUUCUCAUGCGGAAGUUUGCAGGAUUAUGCACACACAUUGUUUCGUUUCGUUGACCAUAGAACAUGAUUUGCUCUUUAUUUUCUCUCCUAUGCCUAAGGCUUUGAGCUCCUUCGAAAUCAUUACUAUAAUGAAAAGGAUGAGAAGUGAGUCCUUUAGACAUGGAACACACAUAAGUUCUUUGAAGAUCAUUUUAUUUGGGAUGUCAAUAACAGUUCUACCAAUUUGCAUCAAUUGUUUAUAUGCUAUACAAACCAUCACUUGGCCCUCUAUUGUCAUUAAUCAGAUGCACGGAAUUUGUGAAUAUAUAAAUAUUCUGGCUGAAGAUAGAACCAACUUGUGAUGGUUCCAUGUGGUACAUAUAACUGAAAUUGGUCAGAUGUUUCUAUAUUUCUUUCGUUAAGACAUCUUUUUUCCUUUGUUAAGAUGUGUCUAAGAUGGGCGGGCGCCGCAACGCGCGCCUUUAUGAUCUAGUACAGCGUGAUGGCGCUGGUGCGCAACUGUUGGUGCAGCACAUUCACCAUUAAUUAUAUUGUUUUUAACACAGUAUAAACGUAAGUGCUCAUAUAUUUAUACGCGCAUAUAUUCACCCCUUGUGAAUGCACGUACGCACACUCUAUCCCUAUGAGCACCUCUGAAAGACUGAGUUAGUAUAUUAUCUAAAUUUUACAAAGUCACCAUAGGCGCCUAUCCGGGAUAAAUGCAAGCAUCAUGACUUGAAUUCUGAUGGGCUGGGGAUAUCACUGUGCUCCUAACCAUUCAACCACAUAUUGGUUCACCGGGACUAAUCAUACCGGUGUAGCCAAGUCUUAUUUAAAAACUAUGGACCAAACUUCAUCCCAUAUAGUUGAACAACACUAGGGGUAGAAACGGAUCGGAUGCGGAUCGGAUAGUGCUCUUGCCACUUCCAUUUUCAUAUUUUCAAAACGAAUACGAAUUCGAAUACGGAUGUUAUCGGAUACGGAUGCGGCUCGGAUAUUAUUCAAAUACGGAUACGUAUCGGAUAUUUUCUUGAUUCGGAACGGAUACGAAUAAUAUCAACAUAUUGCUUAAGUAAAUCAGUCGAUAGCUAUGUGAACUGAAAUAAUCAACUUGUGACAUACAAUAAGUCAAUGAUAAAUAGGUUUAUGAAUAAAUACUAUUGUAAUGCAUAAUAAUUUAUAAGUUUAAUCAUAUAAAGAGUAAAAUUUGACCACUUAUUUGGCUUUUAUGUUGGAUAAUUGGAAUAUUGAGUCUAGAAAUUUGAAAAUUACCUCCCAUAAUCUUAUUCGGAUACGGAUAUAUCCACUUUCAUAUCCAUGUUUGUCUCAAAAUCUCCUACCAUAUUUUAUUUUUUAUUUGUUUAAUAAAUUCGGAUACGGAUAAUUUCCAUUUCCAUUUUGGUUCGGAUGCGGAUGUUUCGGAUACAAAUAGGCAUUUUCUCGAAUACGAAUAUCGGAUAUUUCGGAUUAUCCGCUAUCAAUUUCCACCCCUAAACAACACGCUGUUGCGGUCUGAUGUAGUUGCUACUCAUUUGUUUCUAAAGUAACUUGUAAUCAACUACUUCUUCCGUUUUGAAAUAGAUGACUCAACUUUAUACAAAGUUAGUAUAAAGUUGAGUCAUCUAUUUUGGAACGGAGGGAGUACUUCUGAUGAGAACAAAUCAAUAAAGUACCUUGUAAUCAAACUACUGAGAUAAUUUGUACCUUCUCUCCGUACCCAUGUAUAAUCAAGUAGCCUCUUAAUGUACUUUUCCUUUUUCUUCUUUGAAGCAAGUUUAUGAAGAAAAGAAUGAUGUAUUCUGAUCUCCAUGAAGCAACCAAUUAGCUCGUCCUCUCUAUAAAAACAAUUCUUCAUGAUACCGAAGAUUCUCAAUAUCUAGCCUAACAAAAAGAAGGUUAUCAAUAUUUGAAGAUCUUUUUUAUCCCUAAUCUCCCCGUCAGAUCACUUUGUCUCCAUUUCUGAAGGUCUUUUUUUAGCUUCGAUAUCCUCUUAUUUGGGCCUUUCAGAACCUCCAGAUCCCUCUGGUGUAGAUCUUUAUGAACAGCCUUGGUACAAUCAGGCAAGGGUGGCCUAGCUUGCUGGAUCCCAAGCCAAUUGGACUACCGCAUUGACGGUUUCUUCACACAACCAACGGGCUUCAAACUAUUUUCGGGCCUUCGAUUGUUGAGACAAAACAAAUUUUAAAAAAAUAUGAAGGAAAAUAGAUCAAUGGUCUGAAUGGACACGGUGCUCAUGAACCAACGCAUAUGGCAAUUUAUCCGCACACGCCUCAUUACUUGGUGAUGCCCUGGCUCCAGGUAAACUGAUCACCAAUAACAGUGGUCUGUUGAAGUCCACACAACCUCUGAAAUUAUGCAUCAAUUGUUGAGGUCGAACAUUACCACCCUCCUUCUCACUUGCAACCAAUCUCUCAUUAAAAUCACAGUAACUAACCAUGGACCAGCCGCAUUCCGUUGCGCGAGUAUGUCCAGGACAGGUGCUUCCUAUCCCAAGUUGGUUGUCCAUAAUAUCCUGUCAAGCGCCAUGAAGCAUCAUUUUCACCCAUAACAAUUGCAUCAAUAAAUUUUUCUAAAGAAUAGUUCAACACCACUUUAUUAGAUUGGUUAUAAAAAAGGACAAGGUUCCCCGAGCGACCAUCACUCUUUUUUUUUCAAGAAACUUCCAAUCUAUUUAUCGUCAAUCAUGGUGGUACAACAAACACCAGAAAUAAUAAAAAUUACAUCGAGAUAUGUAGACCACCUAGCGACGACUACAAGCACUGAAGCGAGCCGAAUGCGCGCAGUCGUCAUUGCCCCUCCCACACACGCAUACCUUACCACUAUGAGUACCUCCGACAAACUGAGGCGGCAUAUCAUCUUGAGAUGGACGAAGUCACCAAAGGCGUCUCGUAGUCGACGGGAACGUCUCCUCCCAUUAAACGCGCAUCGCAGAAAAUCCUGAAAUAAAUUCAGCAAUAAAUGUGAGCAAAAGGAUAUGAACUCUGGUGGACUGGGGAUACCACUGUCCACCUAACCAUUCAACCACAGAUUGGUAUUGCUAUGUACAAUUUGGGGUCAUGAUGACCGGAUAGCAGAUUGUGGAGCUUGUAUUUUUUUGUUUCUAUAAUAGCCGCAUGACCUGAAAGGUUUCUUUCCAUCCGGGGCAAUUAUCGUGUCAGUUAAUGGGGGGUGGGGGUGGAUAAACUGGUCACACGAUGCAUAGUUUUAACUUUCUACACCGUGAUAAAAUAAAAGGAAAUGAUUUUCUUCACCUGGCCUAUCCAUCGCGGGGCAUCCGCCGCCUCUAGUGUGCAGACGCGUGUCCUAUGUGGACCCUAUGCGUCGCUCUAUAUUUUUUCUUAUUCCCACCCAUGGUUGACCUUUGUUGAAGAAAAAGCUACAACAAGACCUCUGUUGCAAAAGUUUAUAUAUGCAGAAGACCUCUAUUUUUGCAAAAAAAAAAAGGAUUCUACAACAUGACCUAUGUUGCAAUGAUAGGCAAUAAAGAAAAAGAACAAAAGAUUAAACAAUUUGCAACAACUCUCUUGUUGCAGAAGGCAAAGCACAAUAAGGCUCAUGUUAGAUAGAUCGGAGGAAGAGAAAAAUGGUUUGAGGCUUUUUACGGUUAGUCCGUAGUUCGAAGCCUUUUGCAACAAAUCCUCUGUUGUAGAGAGACGGGUGCAACAACAUGCUUGUUGCAACUUCAUUUGCUCAUGUGAAGAAGAUGUAGUGACUUUCUUUGUCUUAGUCCGACGGCUAUGGAGGUGGACGAUCUUUUCCAUUGCUUAAACCGGCCAACACCUAGUGCAGCCCAUAAAAUAAUUCCCGGUGCCUUUCAAGCCUAUGCAACUCGUAUGGAACACACUUUCUACUCUCUUGAUGUAUGGAUUGUCUCAUCGUUUCUAGAGGAAAAUAAUUUGAAAUUGAGAGGCACGGAAGAGAUUGAUGUUUAUCAGUUGAGAAUUGAUGACAUGAAGGUGCCCCGCUGCCCACCGCAUUGCAUGGUUUUGUGUGGGCCCAUAAUAUUUCAGCACCUAUAAAUGAGCUCAGUUUGGGCAUCAUGACAUUUAUGUGUGUCAAACCACAUAUUUGUCGCGUCAUAGGCUCUCACCGAUUCCACGCCUCCCAACUAUAAACAUUCACGAAGAAUUAAAGCAUACAACCAGCCUACUAUAUCAAGUUGUGCUGAGAGCAGAGCAUCUCCAAUAACUGCCCUAUAAUAGGGCACCAAAAUUUGCUUGAAGUAAAAUUUGGGAUACAAAAAAGUGUUUUUAGGGCACGAGAAAGUGAGUGUCUCCAAAAGUUGCCCUAAAAUGGGGUAUUGAAUAGGGCACCAUUGCUCCAACAACUGCCAUAAAAAUAGGGCAACCGCACCACAUCUUUCUUCUCCACAUAUGGAUAGAAAUUAAACUUUGCAAGAUUUCCUUGAGUGUCUUCUCCACCAACAGCUGCUCACAAAAUUCAAUUACUGAACUUGAGUGUCUUCUCCACCAACAGCUGCUCAAAAAAUUCAACUACUAAAACCAAAUCUAACAGGAAGACCGACAAAAUCAAAGUAGAUACUAAAUUUGAGUGUCUUCUUUUAAUUUCUUUGUAUUGCACAGAACUACACACCAAAAUGGCAUGGGAUACAAUUUCAGCGAAUAACAAACGAAAUUGACAAGAAGUUCCUUUGUAACUUUCUUCAGUAAAAGGAACAGUGAAAGUCUGAACUUUCUGAAAACUAACACCUGCAUCUUGGCCUCUUACACUUUCGUCAGAAAAAGGAAAGCUGGAAACUGAACUUUACUAAUGAAUUACAUCGGGACUAGCAGCGGCGCAUUCAAGCAGCACCUCCACGACCCGUACAAACUCCAACAACCCAUUCUGCAGCACCACCACACAAACCACUAACUAGCCAUCAGGCUUUCAUUUAGCUUUGUACUCUCUCUGUAAACUAAUAUAAGAUUAUUUAGGUCACUAGAGGGAAUAUAUGAUAAAUGUGUUUGCUUUCGCAAAAAAAAAAAAUAUGAUAAAUGUGUUUGGAAGAGGGCUAACUUGCUUUAUUUGGAAUCGCCAAGGUGAAUCUAACUUCCUUUUUUCUUGGCAAAACAAAAUAACUGCACUAUCGUGCUACAAUCAGCAACAGAAUUGGUCACUACCCAUGCCAUGCAAUUCAGCUCAAUUCACUCUAUUAAAAAACUUCAAGUCAUAGCACGAGAAAUUUCCACUUUAAAGGAAUCGAAACAUCCUCACCACGCAACCCAGUAGAAAUGAAACAAUCCUACAUGCUCAACCCACAACAACGGAAGCUCCGAGCCGCACUAGCCCCGGGUCACCGCAAUUGCAUUUGAGAACUUAGCCAUGGCCUCGACAACAACAUUGAAGAAGGCGUCGGAGCCAAAGCCCUUUGUCUGGAUGUGCUAGCAAAGCUCCGCCACCACCCAUGGAGCUCGCUCAGCUUGGAUGGGUGGCCGGAGCCGAAUCUCGCAGGGAUAGAGAUCAAAUCGGACCUAGGGAAGAGGGGACGAGGUGAGGGGCGCUAGAGUUGGGGGAGGCAUCAACCGCAGUGAUGCUCGCAAGAGUAGAGGCAGGAAGGGCACGUGGGAAAACACCCGACCGACGAUUUUGCGACAGCGGCCCAAGUGUAGAGUUGGAUCAGCCGACGGUGAUUUGCAGGUGUAGAGGCAGGAAGGGUGCGUGGAAAACGCCCGACCGGCGGUUUUGCGACAGUACUUUAUGCUGUAUUUUUGGGCAGCGCUGGAAAUUUUGGAGCAAAUUUUACAUUAAGGGCAGGUAUUGGAGCAGUGUUUCUGGCCCCAAAUGCCCUAAAUACGUUAUGGGGAGAUUCUCUGAGUUGAUGGGGAGUUUAGGUGUUUACACACACUCCAAAUCACAAGUCUUACAACGGUUGUUUCAGGCCCUAAAUAAACACACAAAAUCUGUCAGGCAGAUUAACGUCUUACACCCACACAAACGGAAGCAAUUUGCUUGGCUUUACAUAUAUCCAAGGUAACAUUUCUAGAUCUGUUGGAGAAGCUCGUAUACAUUGGGUGCAUGUUGCAUGGAGAAGCUCAUACAAGUUAAAUGUGCAUGCUGAAUUUGGUAUCCAAGUCGAUCAGCUCAGGUACAAUGAGGAAUAUUACUUAGUUCCACAGUAUCUCUAACAAUGGUUGGAGAAGCUACACAUUUAAAUCUCAGACAUGCAUGUAUUUCGGAACGGAGGCAGUAGUUUUUUACAGAAUGUGACAUUUGGAACUAUAGACUGUUCUUUUCAACUACUCAGAAGGCUAACUAAAAUUUCAGAAACAUUUAUGAGAAAGAAAUAGAACAGCAUCACAUCAAAAAAAAAAGAUGGACGCAGGGCAGAAUUACAUAUAUCAAGAGUACUGCAAAAUUAAUAGCUGCAUAAAAUUCAGUCACAAACACAUAUAAUCCCACAUUACAUAAAACUCAGUCUUGGAACAAAACCAGACUAGCAUUAAACAGCUAAAUUGGACAGAACACAGGUAAGACAGCUUCCACAGCCAUAGCAGCAAACACGCCAGGAAUCACUAGACCAUGCCGUCCUCCCUCGAUGCCUGGCAGCCUGGAUGUAGGAUGAUGCUUCCCCUGCUCCAAGGCGCCUACUUGGAUCGCUGCCUCAUCUUUCGGCGCUUCCUCUUGAGCCUCCUCAUCCUCUUCUUCUUCCACUGCAAAUUUAAGUAACCGCACAGUUCAUCAGCACAAAUUGCGUAGUACUACUCUAGUAGAUGCAUGGCCAAAUAACAAGAAAGUACAAUUUGUUUUGGAAUCAGAAGAUUUGAGUGUUUCAUUGGAUAUCAUCACGUGAUUUUCAGAAACACGGACCAAUUGUUCUUCAUCAUUUCCCAAAGACUGACAAUGUUGAAAAGGCAAAUAGGAAACAACCAAACUAAGAUAUCUAAAGAACUAGCUAAGCAAAGUAGAGAUCUGCAGUCGGUUUGACAUUCAGAAUGAGUAGGAGGAUUUUAUCAUCAAAUGGAUCAGACGCCAAUAGUCAUCCUCAUCAUGCCAACCGACGCAAUUGAACGAAAGAAAGAACAAAUCUAGAAAGAAACACUGGCAAAGAAAACACUAUUCUCUCAGACAAAUGCCUCGAUUGUCCACAUGGUUUUAUAGAAUGGAUUACAUCGGACUCGUCAUAUGUUUUCAUCAUCACAGAGAACUAUAAACAAACAUGCGCAAAAAAUAUCAACUCAGUCAACAGAAACUACAUCCUAGAAUCUCUGAGAACAGGCAAAUCGAACUAUAAUAGCAGGUUCUCUCAGACAAAUUUGCCUCAUUUUUGUCCCCACGGUUGAAUGGAAUGGAUUGGAUCGGACAUCUAAUCAGUGUUGAUCAUCACAGAGAACCACUAAUUACGACAUCGAGCAACAGCAACAGCAGGAACGAAAGCUCGAUAAACACUAGCACAUGCCCAGAUCUACCGCGGUCGCGAAGCAGCUAAUAGGAGAG